CACGGGCAUACAGGAAUGAACAAAAUAACUGUUAGAGGCCACAGGUGACAGAAAUCAGAUGACCAGACCCAGAAAGUGCAGAGCUCUGCUAUGUGACUUCCAGAAGGUCCUCCCUACCCAUCGGAUCACGGAGAGGGCAAGAUGAGGACGAGGCCAGGAAUCACGGUGGCGCCCAGGGCUUGCUCUCCGUACCUGUGGCCUCCAGCUGAAGAGCCACACCCCUUGCGUUAGACCCCCAUCGGUUCUCCCAAUUACCGAGAGGAAGGGCAACUCGAGGAUGACGCCAGGCAUCAAGAAGGUUCUCUGGACAUGCUCUGUAGUUUAUUAGGCCUCUACUCACGCCCCAGUCGAGCAUCCAAUCCCCAAGAGGAAGAGUGAGGCGGGUUCGUUCCUAUGGCAAAUGUGGAGGCCAGGAGGCACUCCGCCUGUGAUGGGAAGCUACACCCCCUCAAUCCCUGAAACCACACCCUCCUGCUCUUGGGUAUGAGUGGCAGGGUGGGCGCCGAGCUUGGGGUCCUGCCUUGGGGCAUAGAGCAGAGGGCUAGCACUGGUCCUUGAGUCUGGAUGGGAGACACAAGGAAAAGUAGCCUCAUGCCGCCCACUUCCCCGCCGUGUCCUGGAGUCUCUGUGGGUGUCCACGAGGCCUGGACGGUCUGUCUACCUGUAACCAGAUCCACUCUAGUAUUUCUGUCAGCCUGAGCUGAGUAGAUGUGUCUUGUGUUUUUUCCUCAGUCACUGGAGAUGGAGGCUUUGGUUUAGCAGACAGAAUGUCCAAAGAGAAGAAAUACUGAUGGCAUAGCAGGAAGAUAUUCUGAGGAUUAUAUCAAUGGCAAGCUCCAUGGUGUGAGCUGCCCUGUGCAGAGGACCAUGUGGCAAUGAGGGCAGCUGGCCAGACAAGAACAGAGUCAGCCUGUGGUACAACAGCCCUAAAGAAACCAAAUCCUGCUGGCAACUGCCCAAGUGAAGUUGGAAGCAGAUCCUUCCCCAAUCGAGCCUUGAGAUGACUGUAGCCCUGGCUGACACUUGGACCGCAGCCUGUGAGGGACCCUGAGCUAGAGGAACAAGCUAAGCUGUGCCCAGAUUCUUGACUCACAGAAGCAGUGAGAUGAUGCUGUUAUUUGAGGCCACUAGGUUUUAGGGUAUUUGUUAACACAGCAACAGAUAACUAAUACAGCUUCCUGCGUGGUCUUCCUCCUUCCAGUCUUAAUGCUACAGUCUGCUGUCCAUAUCACAGCUAAACAGAUCCUUUCAAAACAUGAGUCGGGGUGGCUCAUUCCUGUAACGCUAGCACUCUGGGAGGCCAAGGCAGGAGGAUUGCUUGAG